CUUCUCUGGGCACCCUGUGCCAGGGCCUCACCACACUCACAGACCAGAGCAAAGAGCCUUCCAGAUGCUGCACGGGGACACGUGAGCCUGAGUGAGCAAUCCUGCUUGGUCUCAAGGAGGUUUUGAGUGGAACAUCUCCAUCUCUGCAGCACCCUCUCUACUGCAUCCCACACCAUUUAUCCUGCGUGCCUCAUCUCUGCCCACCAGCCCUCACGAUGGAAAGAUGACCAAGCUCAUCUUUCUCACCAUGGUGGUACAAGGAACUCAGACUGACAAAAACAAUCCAGUACUCCUGUGCCAAGAAGCAACUUGUGUCCUGCCUUGUGUUUCCACAGGCAGAACGUGAAAUGGUUUGAUUUCCAGAGAGCUGCUGGAAUUUAUAGGGGUGCCUGUGAGAGAAAAACAAGUUGGAACUGAAGAUAAAUGUUACCAUCCACUACAAUUUAUCCCUGUAAAAGCCCAAGGCAUCAAGCAUGGCUCGAGGCACUGAAAAUACUGAUCUUACAUCAGCAUCUACCAGCUCCAUUUACAAAUUACUGACCCACCCCAGUACCUGACACACAGGGAGUGCAGGCUGGAUCAGACAUCAAGGAAGGAAAGGCAUUAAUGACACACCACGUGUACUCUUGGACAGCUGAGUGCCAAAAUGCUUCCCGUUCUUCCCACACACCAAACCUGCGGCUCGCUCCCAAACCUCCUCAGCAUUGGUUUUUCAAAGGCAACAGAGACUUUCAGGCUGGCUCUGCUUCCUCUGGACACAUCCCAAAAGAGACAGGGAAAUACAGCAUUAACCUUUGCCUGUCCAAACUCAGGUCUCCUUUAGUCUGAGAAGUUGACCCUACCAAGCCUUAAUUUCACUUACCCCCUCACUUCCAGGAAUAUCCCUUCCCUUCAUCUCAGGAGAGACAGGGCCAUACUAAGUUGUCUCCUCUUCCCAAGCUGGGAAGAAGAUGUGCUUCUUCAGUGCACACAAAACAAAUAACAAACUCUGUAAACUAUUCCAAAAGUCAUGAAGGAGAAGGAGCCCAAAGCUGGUGGACAUUAAAGCUGAGGUCAUCAGACAUGAUGGAGAAUACAGGCUCCCAUCACAGCACCACUCUGGGGUCCUGCACUGCUGGCCCAGAAAGUGAAGCAGAAAUGUUCGAGUUCUUCAACAACAACAAAAAAUAUUGUUCUGAGGAACGGUAUUUUUUUGCAAGUAUGAUCCAGGACAGCCAUCCCCUCUGCCUCUUUCCACAGCAUCAUCACCCAGGAAAAACAGGGGGGAGGCAGAGAAUAAACCAGAGCACUCAGAGAACCACUUAGGCCAAAACAGACCCUUAACCAUGACAUUUGACAUUUCAUAAUUAACUCUGAAUCACCAAAGAUGGUGGAACAAGUUCCAGAAUAAGAUUUCUUUCAACUUUGGAGGCGCCAGGCACCUCCUUUACCACUUGAUUUUCCACCAACACACUGAGUGGUCCCCAGAAACACUCGCCCCAAAAUCAUCUCCAAAAUCACCAUCUGGGAAAAUCUCUGCACUGUUGAAGGUUUGAAAAAGAUUAAAACAAAACAAAAAAAGAAAAGAAAAAAAAAGGGUCACUGGAUGGUGCUUUUGAUCAGGAAACCACUGCACAUUUUUACCACUGUGAUCCAACUUGUUUUAAUGCCUGCAAAUAUCCCCUGAGUCAAAUGAACUUGUUCAAAGCUGAUUCACACCAAGGCUACUUUUUAAAUUGGGUAGUUGUUGACAAGUAGAAUAUAUUUAACAAGCCCCAAGCGUCUUGGCAUGCAGUAUAAAGACUUCCUAUUAUGAGCUGGGUUUUUUUUUUUUAAAGGGAACAUAUGGGCAGAGCAGGUUGUCUGCCACAGGGCACUUCCAUACAGUGCUUGGCACUGACAGAACUGCACAGAUAUCCAAAAAAAUAAACCAAGGAACGUCACGCCAAGAACACAGGGGAUGAAUCACACCAUUUAAAACUCGCUGAUAAAAUGCACCAUUAUGUGUUUUUCAAAUCCUCCUCAUCUGAGGGAAAAGAAAUGAAAAUAAUUGUGUUCCUCUAGCUGAAGAGUACCGUGAGAAAGUGGCAGGCUCUGUGAUGGGAGCAGCUAGGAAGGAACACACCUUGCUGACUGGGGCAGCAUCUUAAUUUAUAGUGUGGGGAUAAAAUGAAAGACCAGAGGAUUCUCUCCACCAUCACAAACUCUGAGUGGAGGCAGUCAUCAUCCCCAUCUGAUUUCCAAAGAAAUGAGCUGAGAAUGUAGUCUGGACUACUGAGUUUCUCCUGCCCCAGCAUCCAACAAGAUCAGAAGUGAAGGGCUGUAGCCUGAGGCUACAGCAUUACACAGCUAAAAGGAGUUCCACAGCAGUGACAAAAAGAACAGCUUUGGCACGUUCCUUGGGCAACAGAGGAGCAAAUCCAGUAAAUCCACUGCUCUGUAAAUCCCCUGCAGACAGAACAAGCACAUGCCAUAGCUGGCACAUCAGCAACCCCUUGUUUUGGAGGGCUGCACACAGGUAGAAGGUUCCAUCUACCCAGAAGACAUCCCACCAUAUCUACCCACCACAGAGACAGCUGUUACUGCCACAACUCUCCUGCUGUGUCAGGAGAAGCUGCAGAGUAGGGGGACACCAGUUGUAUUCCACCUGCUGCAGUGACCAGGAUAUUCCCAUCUUAAUCCUGGUAACAGAAAUCAUGAUCUAGCCAAGAACUCCAGUGCCUUUGGUUUCCAAAUCCUACUGACCAUCAGGGAUCUACAAACAGCUGGCCAGAAUCUAAAACAGUGCAUGAAGCUGCAGUUUGGCUCUGUCAGACUCUGACAGGACAAAGGGUUGACAACUCAGGAACAACUCAGAAUUGUUGGACUAAACAGGACAAGCAACAACCAGUCCCAAACUGGCCUGCCUUCCCUGUGUCUUUGCCAGCUUGUCAGGCUCUGGUGGAGCCUUGGUGGCAAUUUUUCCCUAUUUCCAGCUCCUCAAUCACACUGAGCAUUGGGAGGUAUCUGCCAGUCUCACACUCCUGGCAGAAGCAAAGCUUGUUGUUUCAGGACUGUAGAAGGAAGGAAAGACAGACAGUAAAUUACGGGGAAAAAAAUAAAAGGUUGUAAGUUAAAAACACUGGCAUAACUGAUAGAACAAUGUUGUAAACAAGUUUCCUGCAGAAGUCAUAUUCCAGCUGCCAAAAAGAGCUGUACCCUAUCCCAUCUGCACAACCUUGAGAUCGUAUCUCUUUCACCCUCCUUCUCUCUCCAACUGUUUGGGAGUCUUAAUUCAUAGAACGAGCCUUAAUUAAAUAGGAAAUAUGCCUGUGUUUGCACAACUCAGAACACAAUUGUGUCUCAGUCAAAUAAACACUGGUGCCCAUAUUACACUUGGGAAUUUGCUGUGGUUUGGGGUUUUAAAUUCGUUGCAGCAAGCUUGGGAGAAAAGUUUCAACAGGAAUCUUUUCUUCUCCUCCCAUCCUCUGUACCAGGAGGGUGAGACAGGGAACAAAUCCCCAUGCAGAGAGGCUCAAUACUGGUUCCAGCUGUAUGUGUACAUGAGGAUCAUUUCAGGACACACCAUAUGAGACACGAUAGCCAAAAGCAAUUAUUUUUCCUCACCACUUCUCAGAACCCAGACCUACCAAACUGCCCUGAAAUAGCAGCACAGCUCUCGAAAUAGCAUUAUUUCUUCUCUUUUUGAAAGCAACACCCACACUGAAUCUUUGAUUUAAGCCAUCCCCAAGCAGUUACCACAUUUUUACCAUUCAAGCCACAGGGAAAAUCAUUAAAUCCAACAGCAACACUAUGGGAAGAGAACCAGAAUUAGAAAAGCCAAACACCGCAUGGAUUUACUCCCACAGUAACUGGAUCGACUUCAGCCUGAACAGACUAGAUGUGACUCCAGGAAAAAUAUGUCUCUCCAGGUGCAGCUGUAUCAAAGAGACUUUCCCUGGGCUCGUGCUUUGCUGGAGCAUUAAGCAAACCACAUGUUCCAGCUCUGAGGCAGCAGACACGUACUCAGGGCUGGCCUCGGCACGCUGCGACUCACGCAGCCCUCUCCAUCCUGCUGUCUGCACAAACACACCCCAGGAGCAGCACAGAGCCCAGGGCAGGGGAAUUCAGGUUGGGAAGCAAGUCCUUAGAUCCUAAAGGCUGGAUUAUUGCUGGCAGACUGGCUGUCUGGUCCCACCAAAAACUUCCCUUGAAGAAGAAGGGAAUUUUCCCCAUGGGUUUGAGUACGACAAUAAGAAAUAUUUCAGUAUAAAAGCAAAGAGAUUCUCAUCACUACUGACUGUCUGCAUUCAGGUCACCUGGAGAUAUCCAAAGGAAAUCAGUACUGCUAUGGGAAAUCGCUUAUACAGGACCACAUCCCUGCUGUAAAGUGACAAUUCCCCCCGCUGAGUGAUUUUCCUCCUGAGUGCAGGGGAAUGGAGCAGAGAGCAGAAUCAGCCCAUGAAUCAUGGAAUCACAGAAUAGUUUAGGCUGCAAGAGACCUUUAAAGGUCAAACAAUACCAAAGACAAGAAAUAGAAGGGUGAAGAAAGAGAUAAAAACACAACAGUGACACCUUCACCUUUGUUCCCAUCUUGUUGCAAACUUCAAAAUAAAGCCCGAGGAUUAUUUUUUGUCUGGAGAUUCCAACAGAAAACCUCCUCCAGUCGACUUCUUGUGCUUUGAGGUUUUAAGUGCCUUGCAGGCAAAGUGGAGCCUGGAGUGCCGUGGGAUGCACUCCAGUGAUGGAUUACCACUGCUGCAAGGUGCCUUUCAUUUCCCCCGACACACCUGAACUCAAAACGUUUCUUCUCCACAACAAUCAAGAGAUUUUACCAAAACAAAGGGAAGUUUACUUUAGUAUUGAUCCUCUGUAUGAAACUGUGCCUCAAACAGCUUCACAGAACUGAGAUAAAAUGUUGCUCAGAAAGAGAAUAAUUAAAUAUCACAGGCUGAGGAAAGAAAAAAAAAAAAAGAUGUAUUUUAGAUCUAAGACAUUUUUCACAGAGCAGGAAGAUUUGUCAUAUGGUGAACAGUAGAAACUGUGAAUUGGGACACUUGUGAUUUAUCUCUGCUUCCACAGCCUUCCCAUAUGACUGGGGUAAAAGAACCACAGUCCUACCCAUAACUUGCUCAAAAUAAAGCACAAUUUCAAUGUGUUUAGGUGGGAGCUCAUUUUAUUCAGCACACCACGCUUGAUCCUUUCAGUAUCUCAGCUUCACCGAAUGUAAAACAGCACAAGCACCUGGCUGUGCCAGAAAAGCAUUUCCAUUAAUGCCCUCGAUGAAAAGGCAUCAGUGUAAGGUAUUAAAUCCCUACCAGGACACAGCUAUGUGCAAGUCAGAUGAGAUAACAAGCCAGUAAAUUUCAAAUCACUGCUUGCAUCCAUCCCAUAACUACAUGCUGAAAUCCCUCCAGCUAGGCUGGCGUGUUGGCAGGAAAAAAAUUGUCAUUUCUAAAUUUAGCAGACACCUCAAUCAUUGUGUGAUGCUUCAAAAGCAAUGGAGAUGUAAAGUGGAAUUUGUAGGACACCAUUUAAACUGAAAUGAGAGCUCUGCUCACUGAGCAAAGGCUUUUCUUAAUUCCCUUCCUGUUUGGACAAUUUGAUCCACUUCUUUUUUUUCCACUACAACCACAAAGGUCUGUCCUGCAGUGAAUGGAUAGGCUUUUUUCUGGGAUAACUUCCAGGUUAAAGAGAAAGGAUUUACACUUGAAUGAAACAUAGGCACUGUAUUUGGAAAAUUUGUUUUGAAAACUUGGGAAGGAAGCAAAGCCUCCUUCAUUUAAAAAGGGACUCAAUUAACAUUCUCCAACAAGUCUUCCUAUCGAAAGGACAGUAUUUGCUGGGGAACAUGUGAUCUGAAACUUGUUCUCCUCACUCACAAUGUUCCUUUCUGAAAUACAGGGCACUGCUUUGGAGAGACACGAGGAUCUUUGCACAGCUUUCCAAAGGACUGCCUGUCACAGGCCAGGCCUUGACUCCAGACAUCAGAUCUUCUAUGACUUAAGCUCAGGAAACUCAAAAUAGUACUUAAAGAUCCUAAUGAAGACCUAGAGUGACACAAUCCUACUGUGGCUCCCUCUACAAGGACAGCUCAUCCAUGUUCUGCCACAAGGGUGAGAUGAAUCCACGGCGUCACAAAUUUCACCUCCUCAUUGUCCUCAAAAAACACAUCUUUAAAACUUUCUGGAAAGAACACACUAGAGAUCAA